AGCGAACGCUGGCGGCAGGCCUAACACAUGCAAGUCGAACGGAUCCUUCGGGAUUAGUGGCGGACGGGUGAGUAACACGUGGGAACGUGCCCUUUGGUUCGGAACAACUCAGGGAAACUUGAGCUAAUACCGGAUGUGCCCUUCGGGGGAAAGAUUUAUCGCCACUGGAGCGGCCCGCGUCUGAUUAGCUAGUUGGUGAGGUAAAGGCUCACCAAGGCGACGAUCAGUAGCUGGUCUGAGAGGAUGAUCAGCCACAUUGGGACUGAGACACGGCCCAAACUCCUACGGGAGGCAGCAGUGGGGAAUCUUGCGCAAUGGGCGAAAGCCUGACGCAGCCAUGCCGCGUGAAUGAUGAAGGUCUUAGGAUUGUAAAAUUCUUUUACCGGGGACGAUAAUGACGGUACCCGGAGAAGAAGCCCCGGCUAACUUCGUGCCAGCCGCCGCAGUAA
rnacentral:rRNA from 1 species